GGCUGGGCGAGACCUCCGUGGUCCACAAGUCUUCAGUAGACAACAGGAAGACAAAGACAAGGAGAAAAUAGCCUUAGGAUCUGAUCAAUUAUACGGCAGAUGUUAGGGUACAGUUUCCGGUUUGGAAAACGCACUCAAGGAUGGUGUUGGAAAAAGAAGGAGGGACAACCCAGGUGUAUAUAAACAUUCUUCCCUCCUUCUCUCCCUGGAGUGGAGGCCCCAAGGGCCUAAGGACCCCGCAGAGAAGGCUGGGGUGGACAGUCAGCAGACAGCAUGAUGAAAGGCCCUGGGGCGCCCAGGAGGCAGGACAGAAUUUCCUAACAGGAGGAUAGUAUGUUUUCUCUGAGGCUUCUGGAGUACUCUUUGGAACGAGGCAGGAGAUACUCAGAGAAAUAUUUCCUGGGAACACCGUCGGCAGUAGCGGGAGGCUGGAAAGAAGAAAAAUGGCCACCCAGACGGGACCGCAGACAGAUGACGAUGUGUCCAUGUCAUAAAUACAGACUGUCUUUUCCAGACAGUAUGUAAGUCACAGUGUGAGGGAACAGGCACAGGGCAGAACUCUCGGUAGUCAAUACUUCUGUUUGUGUAAGUAGAAUGGUUUAAACACACACACACAACACACACAUACACACACACACACACACACACAGCUUAUAUGCCACCAGAGAAGAAAGGGUUUGCAUUAGGUACUUACACACAAUGAGCUGAGCUGGUGAAAAUGACACAGUAUCUGACUGGAUCAUUGAAAUGUUCCGGCUGUCACAGAACGCACAGAAAGAAAUGUCACCUGAAGGUAUUGCCCCAGCAAGCCCUGAGUACCUAAAAUGGACAGCAAUGGGCUCUUGUACUACACCAGACUGCACAUCCGUGGAGAAAUUUAGAAUGGUGUCAGCAAUGGGUGAGUUGUAGGGGGAGAGGAGUGAGUUUGAAAUAUUUUUCAUGCCCAAGUGUGUUGGCUGCUUUUGCUAAAAGGCACGCAAGAACACGCAUGUCCACACGUGUGGUUCCCACCUGCCCUAUGCCCACACGUGCGGUUCCCGCCCGUCCUAUGCCAACCAACCUACUACAGAUACCAUCUUCAAGCGUAACACGGUCCAACUGGGUUAUGCGCUUUGCUAACAUUGAAUCAUCUAAAAAAGGAUAAUUUGGC
rnacentral:lncRNA from 1 species